UUUCCGUAGGCGAACCUGCGGAAGGAUCAUUAUUGUAUAACCGAGGUGCGAGGGCUGUCGCUGACCCGAAAGGUCGUGCACGCCCGAGUGCCCUCACACACAUCCAUCUCACCCCUAUGUGCACCACCGCGUGGGUCCCCCUUUGGCUUGUUCGGAGGGGGGCUUACGUUUUCACACAAACUUUGUAUGCAGUGUAGAAUGUAUUUUUUGUUUUUGCGAUCACGCAAUCAAUACAACUUUCAACAACGGAUCUCUUGGCUCUCGCAUCGAUGAAGAACACAGC
rnacentral:misc_RNA from 1 species